rnacentral:rRNA from 1 species
CGUCAGGAUAUUAGCCAAUGCUCGCAAGGAGUGAACUAGCUAACUGAAAUCUAAUUCUAAAAUUAGAUAAGGUAAGAGAAAAUAAUGAUAUUAUCUUACUAUUAGUGUUGUCCAAAAUUGGUGCCAGAAGACUCGGUAAGACCAUAAACACAAACGUUAAUCGUCAUAAUCAGGCGUAAAGGGUUUGUAGGCGGCUUUAAAAAUAUAAUAUAAUUAAAGCUAGAAUCUAAAAGAGGAUAAGCUGAACAACUAUUUAAUUAAGAUCGGCAACUUAGUAAAUAUUUAGGAGUACUAAAGGUUAAAGCUAUUUAUCUACUUAAGAUUGACGCUCAGAAACGAAGGAGAGGAUCAUCACAGAGACUUAGAUUAGAGACCUAAUUAUCCCUCUCAGUCAACGAUGAAUGGUAGUUUAUUAAAUUCUCAAAAAUAUAAGAGAUCUUUAUUAUAUAGUAUAUAAUAAAUAGUAAUUAUAUUUAGUAUGAAUUAGUGACGAGGUUAACACGAUGACCAUUCCGCCUUGUGAGUAAGACUGCAAAGUUGAAAACAAAAAAAUUAGUCGGUCUUGAAGCAAACGAAGUGAA